GUGUUUGAUCGAUGUUUUUUGCAAUAAAUUUCUGGAAAACUGGAAAUGCGCUAUCUCUAAAAAGUGCUAAAAGUCGAAGUACCUGGAGCCCGUUUCUCGAAACUCCCGAAAACUUUUCGGGCCCGUAAAAUUGGCCGGAUGGGGUCAAAAAGAUUUAAAAAGGUUUUCAAGUUUCGAGAAACGGGCGCCUGUGCCGUGAGAGCCCUGGUAAUAUUACCAUAUAAGGAAAGGCCUGGUUUUUGGCGCGAAAACCUCAUUUUGGCUCGGUUGGUUGUUUACGUGUAAAGUAAGAAAGUUCGCUCUCAAUAAACGCUAAACCCGAAGAAAAAAGCCACAAAAGACUACUACAAGAACUAAGGAAACGAAAAGAUAAAAGGCUUGGCACUUUGCUGAGCUGUCGAGACUCUAGUACGUCACGAGUGGGCGAGAGGCUACGUAGAACACGCUAAAAUAACAGACUUCACGUGGACUUGGAUGAGGCAGUGUUAUAUAACAGGUACACGUGGAGACACGUAGUGACUCAGUAAUAAAGUAUUUUUACGAAUGUCAUCACUUUACAAGACAUCAUCACAGGAUAAAAUAUGCAAACGACUUUAAGGCCGGAAAAGGAGAGCCAAUUUACGAGAACGUGCUUCAACAGCGAAUAGAAUAAGGUGUUUCCAUCGUUCCUUCUAGAAAAAAGAAAUGUAGAGUGAUGGAGUAACGGAGAAAUGGAAAAGUUUGUCUUUUUUUAAUUUUUUAUUUACUGGACUGAUAGAGAAUAGUAUCCCGAGUAUCUACUUUUUAAAAUAUUGUUUGUUUCAUAUAUACUUGUCCUCAGUGCAAUUAACAGCAAAAUUUCAACGGACAUUUUAUGAGAACGUAUAAUUACUGAGGCUGAGCUGUUCUUAUUUUUUAGGCAUUUUAAAAAUGUUCUUAAGGACGUUCUUAAAUUUUAGUGUAUAAUAUGAAUUAAAAA